rnacentral:lncRNA from 10 species
CUGGAAAGAUUUCUACAGCUCUAUAGAGAAAGGUACAGCACCUGCCUUAGGAGUUUGAGAUGAAAUUCACAACAAUAAAACAUCAAAAUUUGUAUUUAUUUUUCAAAGGAAUUUGAGAUACCUUUCAAUAUUUAAAAAUGUAAAACAGUACAAUUGUCAUGUAUUGAUGCAUUACUGAUGAACUCUUGAUGGGAGAAAGGGGUACAAUCUUUCUGGGAGGUCACUGGGCAAUAAAUAUAAAAAGUUUUUCAAAUGCCCACACUCUGUCCCAGCAAUUCCACUUCUUGGAAUUUAUACCAAGGACCUAAGCAAACAUAUAUGCACAGAAUGAGUAACGGCGGUAGACACAGAGAUGCCCCAUAGGAGUGUCAUAUGAGGACUUGCUUCACAGGAGGACUUGCUACUUGCUGCCCAGCCUUGGAGAGUGUGGUCAACAGAUACCCCCAGCUAUCAGCUCCUUCAAAGUUGGCCUCAGCUGCAGAGUGCAGCCUCACGUGAGGUCCUUCCCCUCCCAGGACAGCCCUCAUCUGGUCAGUGAAUGACUUAAGAUUAUAAAAGCCCAGCCAUUUCCACCCAAUGGGACAACACUGAUAGGCCUUUACAGUAGACCCUGGGGUCUGCUGAGGCUGCAGGACUGUACCACAGUUCACCUCCCUCACCCACCCCUGCUUCUUCCCUCUUCCUUUCACAGGGAUCCAGCCCUAGUUAAUAUCUUAUACCUCCAAUGCCAUUUCUGUCAGCUUCUAAAGACUCAACCUGUGAUGGCAUCAAGCAUGACAUGUUAAGAAUGAGAAUCCCAAAGCUACCAAAACCCCCAACAAUAGAGAUGAUGGAGUAAAUUAUGGUUCCUCCAUAGUGAGAUAUUGUGCAGUCAUUAAGAAUGUAAAAGGAGGCCAGUUGCGGUGGCUCACACCUGUAAUCCCAGCACUUUGGGAGGCCAAGGCGUGAGCCACUGUGCCCAGCUGCCAACAGUGGCUAUUUCCAAGUGGAGAUUUUGUACUUCUCUCUUUUUUCCAAGUGUUUUUACAAAAGACAUGUAUAUUACUUUUAUAAAUGAGAAAAUCUGUAUGAUACAAAAAUAAAACUGGGUUUCCAUAUCUACAGGUUCUAUAUCUGCAGAUUCAACCAACUAUGGAUCUGGGUGUAGGGAGUAAGGGAAACAAUGAAAAAUUACAACAAUUAAAAAUAACACAAAUGUUAAAAAACACAGUAUAACUACAUAGUAUUUACAUUGUAUUAGGUAAUAUGAGUAAUCUAAAGAUGAUUUAAAGUAUAUGGGAAGACUGUGUAGGUUUUAUGCAAAUACUAUAUCAUUUUAUAUGAGGGACUUGAGAAUCUGUAGGUUUUCGUAUGAACAGGGGUCCUAGAACAAAUUCCCCCAAAUCCUGAGGGAUGACAGUAUGUCCAAAUCUGACUUCUACCUCAUCCCACAACCUUCAAUCCCCUCCUGCCUUUCCUGAUUUGGUAAAUGGUACCAUGCCUAAAAUUUGAGGGUCAUGCACGACUUUUUGGUCUCUCAUGCCAACCCCAUUCCCUGUCUUGUCAAUUUUAUUUCUACUACCUUAGUUAAGUCUCUCAUUAGCGCUCAGCUAGAUUUCAGAAACAGUGAUGACCUUCUUGAAAUCUAACUCUUAAACCACCAACACACUCCCCACUCCUGCCCCAAUUAACCCCUCUUUAAAGGACUCCCAGUGGCCUUUAAAAACCAUCUGACAAUUGCCAGCACAUUAAGUGGUGUCCUUCAGGAUCUGCUCCUUCCUGCUUCUCUAACCACGACUUGACCUGUGCUUCUCCCUUUUCCAGAAAUGUGUUUCUCUCCCUUCCUUUGCCUUGCUUUCUCUUACCUAUUCUUCCAGGCUCAAUUCAGGCCUCUUCCUUCUCAGAAAUCAAAAAGCUUAGCAGAUCCUCCUGAGCGAGGUGAGGCAUAUCUUCUUUAUGCAAUCAUAGCCCCUUUCACAAGGUAUUAUAUUGCCUCUUUUCCUCACUGAACCAUAAGCAAUUUAAGAGUGCCUGGCUUGGUGCCUGACACAUAUCUAGUAUUCAACAACUGUUUAUUAACUGGAGUGUGUAUAUGUAAAACCUAUAACUUAAUGUACAGAAUUAAUAAAGCAUUGAUAACAGCAGAGUAGAAAAUAUGAUUGCUUAGUGCCACUGAUACAAGAAUUUCCUUACAGGAGGGUCUCUCAACAGAAAGGCAAUUGACAAUCUGGGUCGGAUAAUUCUUUGUUAGGAGGAUUGUCCUGUGCAUCAUAGGAUGUUUAGCAGGAUCCCUGGCCCCUACCCACUAGAAGCCAGCAGUUUCCCUGUAGUAGAAGUAAUAACCAAAAACGUUUCCAGACACCGCCAGACGUCCCCUGGGGGCAAAUCAGCCCCUGUGGAGGACAACUGUUCUACACAAAGAAACUGGCUUUGUUAGAAAAUGCUUUUGUACAGUAAAAGUGAACCUUAGGCCCAAGUUUCUUGCAGCAAGUGGUGGGGUAGGGUGGAGAGGAGUUAGGAUGAAUUGGGCAGAAAAAGGCUACUCUGUGUUGUAAAGGAAGAAGGGAUGGGGCUGAAUGGUGUGUGGACAAAGAUUAUAAGAGAAGAGGUCCUGUUGGCUGGAAAUAAUUGAAAGAAGAAACAGAUAUACUGGGAGUUCUUCUAAUAAAAGAACUGAAUUUUGUACUUUGAUUGGUUAUGAUUCAAAAAAGCGUCUGCCCUUAUAAGUUCAGAAAUAACCAAUAUAUGGAUUAUGUGUGUAUUUCUCAUGCUUAUAUGACAGCUUAGUUAACACAAAGAAGGACUAGAAGGUAGAUUAAAAAUAAGUUUAAUAAGAAUUAUACCUAUCCCAUCUCUACCCCAUUUCUACCCACAAAAAAUACAUCCUUCAGUGUCAGUAAUAAAAAGAUGUGAUGUUGUCAGUACUUACAUAAUGGUAUUCAGACAAGAAGGUUCAAUUCCAUACUUGGAAAUCAAAGCCAGAGGAAAAGGAAGCCAAAAUGUUACAGAUAAUGAUUAAGAAAUGAACAUAAGAGGGAAAACAUGUAUGCACCAGAAAGCAAAAGGAGAAAAACAAAGUGAAUCCCAUAUCAGAACAUUCCUCCAAAAAGAAGACAAACCUCCAGGAAGUUUCCAGUGCAGCUUUAGGAUGAUGAAUGCUUCACCCAGUGGACAAAGGCAAGGGUCCUAAAUUUGUCUUCUGAAGCUACUGGAUUGUUAACUGAGAAGGGAUAGAUGAGAAGCCCUCAAGUUCUUAUCGACCUUUGUCUCAUGUACACAGACAUCUCAUUAAGAGAUCAACUGAGAUGGUAACUUUCAAAACAUGGGACCAACCCCAUAAUUUGAAAAGCAGUUGGUUGUUUUCUUCCUACUAUAAAGAUCUUAAGAGCUUUUUUUGAGGUUUUUGUGUUUUUUUUUUUUAACAAGUAGAGGGGUUUCCUAUCAUUGAACUAAAAUCAUUUAACAUAAAUCCAAGACCUUUUUUAAAGGUCCCCCAUUCUAGCUAGAAUUGCAAAACCACAUUAUAAUUCUCUAAGUGAUAGCAGUGAGAUCAAAAGGACCUACCCUAGAAUUAGCUUUAAAAUAAACUAUUGCAGCUUCUGGGAAAGAGGAAGGAGAGAAUGUAUGUUUACUAAGCUUCUCUUCCUGAAGCCCAUGAAACGAAAAAAAAAUAAAGUCUGUGUUUCCCGUAGGAUAUCUUUAGUAAGGAUAAUCAAAGAUAAAAAUAGUCAAGUCCAGUUUUCCCUAAAAUACAUUUAUUUGUGUGUGUGUGUGUGUUUGUUUAUGUUUUGGUAAAGAAUUUCCACCUGAUCUCUCAUUAACUUUAUUUGGUAAGAGAAAUAACCUUACUAUCAAUUCAAAUUGUUUUGCUAAAAAGGCAGGGAAAAAUAUUUAAGCACAGUAUGCACUAUAUUAUUAAUACAGAUACUCCUCAACUUAUGAUGGGGUUACUUUUGAUAAACCCAUUAUAAGUUGAAAAUAUUGUUAAGUAUUUAACCUACCAAACAUUAUAGCUUAGUCUAGCCUCCUUAAACAUCCUCACAACACAUACAUUAGCCU